rnacentral:rRNA from 1 species
CAAUGGGGGAACCCUGAUGCAGCGACGCCGCGUGAGCGAAGAAGUAUUUCGGUAUGUAAAGCUCUAUCAGCAGGGNAAGAUAAUGACGGUACCUGACUAAGAAGCCCCGGCUAACUACGUGCCAGCAGCCGCGGUAAUACGUAGGGGGCAAGCGUUAUCCGGAUUUACUGGGUGUAAAGGGAGCGUAGACGGUUAAGCAAGUCUGAAGUGAAAGCCCGGGGCUCAACCCCGGUACUGCUUUGGAAACUGUUUGACUUGAGUGCAGGAGAGGUAAGUGGAAUUCCUAGUGUAGCGGUGAAAUGCGUAGAUAUUAGGAGGAACACCAGUGGCGAAGGCGGCUUACUGGACUGUAACUGACGUUGAGGCUCGAAAGCGUGGGGAGCAAACAGGAUUAGAUACCCUGGUAGUCCAAGGGCGAAUUC